AAAAGGAAUUUCAGUUUUU
rnacentral:miRNA from 1 species